rnacentral:misc_RNA from 1 species
UUAUUAAGUUAUAAUAAGGUGACAUUUUUUACAGAGUAAAAUUUGGUAAAGUGUACAAGUCCAAAGCCGAAGCCUUGUUCUUGACGGACAGUUCACAGGUGUUAAGAAUGUGAUUCCACAACAUGGGCACGAGGGCCCAUGCUGCACUCCCCAAAGGAAGAAAUUUGAAUUCACUAAUGAUCCUUCCGCAGGUUCACCUACGGAAA